ACUCUUGAAGAGAAUUCUUUGAGGAUUAAUGAAGACAGCAACCAAAAAUGAAGUUUUCCAUGAGCAUGCUCACAGCCUGACUGCCUCCCAAGCCAUGUUCCCCAGCUACGGUUGGAGAAUGUCUUCAAAGAAAUCCAGUCAACCUCUUUUGAUUUUGGCCACAGCUGCAUACUGAGCAUUGAGUAGUCGCCUUGUCUCUCGCCUUUCUCUUCUCCCUAGUGAAGAACAAAAAUAAACACAAUAAGCCUUCUACAAGGCUGUGCUCAGUGGCACACACCUGGAGUCCCAGCAUCGAGGAGUGGAUGGGGAGAGUCAGGGGUUGUUCAAGGUCAUCCUCAGUUACAAAGUGAGGCUGAAGCCAACCUGGGCUACACGAGGCCUUGUUCCAAGAAACCAAAACUAAACAAAUGCAUGGACAAAGAAACGAACAAAGAAAAAUGAAUCUUACAUAAAAUAUGGGUCCUAGAAAAGAACUGGUUGAGCCCUUUGGGUGCCACUCCCUGCAUUACUUAAAUAUGAGGGGAUCUUCUGCCUCAUGAAUCACCCCAUACCUGCCUGCCCACACCCACAUUUCCCCCCACGAAACACUUCUUACCCA
rnacentral:lncRNA from 1 species